AUUGAACGCUGGCGGCAGGCUUAACACAUGCAAGUCGAGCGGGGGAAGGUAGCUUGCUACCGGACCUAGCGGCGGACGGGUGAGUAAUGCUUAGGAAUCUGCCUAUUAGUGGGGGACGACAUCUCGAAAGGGAUGCUAAUACCGCAUACGUCCUACGGGAGAAAGCAGGGGAUCUUUGGACCUUGCGCUAAUAGAUGAGCCUAAGUCGGAUUAGCUAGUUGGUGGGGUAAAGGCCUACCAAGACGACGAUCUGGAGCGGGUCUGAGAGGAAGAUACGCCACACUGGGACUGAGACACGGCCCAGACUCCUACGGGAGGCAGCAGUGGGGAAUAUUGGACAAUGGGGGGAACCCUGAUCCAGCCAUGCCGCGUGUGUGAAGAAGGCCUUAUGGUUGUAAGGCACUUUAAGCGAGGAGGAGGCUACUUUAGUUAAUACCUACAGAUAGUGGACGUUACUCGCAGAAUAAGCACCGGCUAACUCUGUGCCAGCCGCCGCCGUAA
rnacentral:rRNA from 1 species